rnacentral:misc_RNA from 1 species
GAUGAAGAACGCAGUGAAAUGCGAUAAGUAAUGUGAAUUGCAGAAUUCAGUGAAUCAUCGAAUCUUUGAACGCACAUUGCGCCCCUUGGUAUUCCGAGGGGCAUGCCUGUUCGAGCGUCAUUAUAACCCCUCAAGCUCAGCUUGGUGUUGGGGCCUGCUGCACUGGCAGCCCUUAAAAUCAGUGGCGGCGCCAUCUGGCUCUAAGCGUAGUAAUUCUUCUCGCUAUGGAGUCCUGGUGGAUGCUUGCCAUCAACCCCCAAUUUUUCUAUGGUUGACCUCGGAUCAGGUAGGGAUACCCGCUGAACUUAAGCAUAUCAAUAAGGGAGGA